rnacentral:rRNA from 1 species
AACGCGAAGAACCUUACCAGCUCUUGACAUGUCUCGUAUGGGGACCGGAGACGGUUUCCUUCAGUUCGGCUGGCGAGAACACAGGUGCUGCAUGGCUGUCGUCAGCUCGUGUCGUGAGAUGUUGGGUUAAGUCCCGCAACGAGCGCAACCCUCGCCCUUAGUUGCCAUCAUUCAGUUGGGCCCUCUAGGGGGACUGCCGGUGAUAAGCCGAGAGGAAGGUGGGGAUGACGUCAAGUCCUCAUGGCCCUUACGGGCUGGGCUACACACGUGCUACAAUGGCGGUGACAAUGGGAUGCUGAGGGGCGACCCCGAGCAAAUCUCAAAAAGCCGUCUCAGUUCGGAUUGCACUCUGCAACUCGAGUGCAUGAAGGUGGAAUCGCUAGUAAUCGUAGAUCAGAACGCUACGGUGAAUACGUUCCCGGGCCUUGUA